AGUGAACGCUGGCGGUAGGCCUAACACAUGCAAGUCGAACGGCAGCACAGUAAGAGCUUGCUCUUACGGGUGGCGAGUGGCGGACGAGUGAGGAAUACAUCGGAAUCUACUUUUUCGUGGGGGAUAACGUAGGGAAACUUACGCUAAUACCGCAUACGACCUACGGGUGAAAGCAGGGGAUCUUCGGACCUUGCGCGAUUGAAUGAGCCGAUGUCGGAUUAGCUAGUUGGCGGGGUAAAGGCCCACCAAGGCGACGAUCCGUAGCUGGUCUGAGAGGAUGAUCAGCCACACUGGAACUGAGACACGGUCCAGACUCCUACGGGAGGCAGCAGUGGGGAAUAUUGGACAAUGGGCGCAAGCCUGAUCCAGCCAUACCGCGUGGGGGAAGAAGGCCUUCGGGUUGUAAAGCCCUUUUGUUGGGAAAGAAAAGCAGCAGGUUAAUACCCCGCUGUUCUGACGGUACCCAAAGAAUAAGCACCGGCUAACUUCGUG
rnacentral:rRNA from 1 species